CGUAGAAUUUAUUUCAAAAUUUUUGAUGACUUCAUUUUACUUAAGGCGAUUUCAGUUUGUAAAUUAUUAGUGAUAAACACUAAAUUGCGUUGCACUAAAGUAUCUUUGGUGUUAUCACAUUACAUUUAAUUUUUUUAAACUGGUGAAUUGUAUAUUUUGAUACAAAAUGGAUCGUAAGUUCAAUUUUGGGAAGUAUAAAAAUGAUGCGAUCAAUACUUAUUUGGAAAAAAAUUCAGAAGAUCAACAAAUUUUUAGCGAUGAAGGAAUCAAGCUAAAAGCUGUUCCAGCAUCGACAAAUGUAGCUCGGUAUAUUAUUGAAAUGAGUGGUGAUGCACAAAUUGAACCGUUGUGUGAUUUUAAACGAUGCAGUGACGCUUCUCGUAAUUCAGCAGAGACUACUUACGCUGUAGCAGACCCAGUUCAAUAUUGUGACUCGGUUGUAUCUCUUGAAUCACUACGCUCUCUUACAUCGGCAGAGAAUGGAAGCCCCAACGAAUGUACUAAUAGAAAGGAACUUUUCACGCUGUUCAAACGUAAUUCACUAUUCAGGGCAACCUCGUGGACUUCAUCUGAAUUCUUCUUUGCUAAUGAUGGUGAUUCAGGAAGUGAUGAGAAGUGAGCUGUUGACAUGGAACCGUCAACCAAGUACGUUUUAUAACUGCUGGUUGACUUAAAGUAACUCAACGUAAAAAAAAAACCACUAUAUUUACAGUUGUAGAAAAAACGGACAGGUCCAACCUAUAUCUCCUCAAGAUAUAGAAAAACUACGUAGUUACAAAACAUGUACGCAAAAAUUAAGAGUAUUUAUCAAUGUAAACACAAACUAUCUGACUUUUUACAAUUUUAAUCGGCGUGACGAAGAGACUUCAUACAAUAUGUUGAGUUACUAUACUUUAAAAACAAUGAAAAUUAGCUGAGCGAAUCCACAAUUUCAAAGGUGAUAUAAGAGGAAAAGAAGAAUGAAACAAAUCAGACGAUAUUUAAUAGUUCUUUCCUUCUUUACUUAAAACUGGCAAUAAACACCUAUAUAUAUCUCUUAAGCUAAAA